ensembl:snRNA U6 U6 spliceosomal RNA
UUACUUCGGCAGCACAUAUACUACAACUGGAACGAUAAAGAGAAAAUUAGUAUGACCCCUGGGCGGGGAUGACAUGCAAAUCUGUGAAGCAUUCCAUGUUUUU